GUCGAACGAGAAAGUGGAGCAAUCCAUGAGUAAAGUGGCGCACGGGUGAGUAACACGUGACUAACCUACCCUUGAGUGGGGAAUAACCUAGAGAAAUCUGGGCUAAUACCGCAUAACACCUACGGGUCAAAGGAGCAAUUCGCUUAAGGAGGGGGUCGCGGCAGAUUAGCUAGUUGGCGGGGUAAUGGCCCACCAAGGCGGUGAUCUGUAUCCGGCCUGAGAGGGCGCACGGACACACUGGAACUGAAACACGGUCCAGACUCCUACGGGAGGCAGCAGUGGGGAAUUUUGCGCAAUGGGGGAAACCCUGACGCAGCAACGCCGCGUGGAGGAUGAAGUCCCUUGGGACGUAAACUCCUUUCGAUCGGGACGAUUAUGACGGUACCGAGAGAAGAAGCCCCGGCUAACUUCGUGCCAGCAGCCGCGGUAAUACGAGGGGGGCGAGCGUUGUUCGGAAUUAUUGGGCGUAAAGGGUGCGUAGGCGGUUCGGUAAGUCUUAUGUGAAAUCUUCAGGCUCAACUUGAAGUCUGCAUGAGAAACUGCCGGGCUUGAGUGUGGGAGAGGUGAGUGGAAUUUCCGGUGUAGCGGUGAAAUGCGUAGAUAUCGGAAGGAACACCUGUGGCGAAAGCGGCUCACUGGACCAUAACUGACGCUGAUGCACGAAAGCUAGGGGAGCAAACAGGAUUAGAUACCCUGGUAGUCCUAGCCCUAAACGAU
rnacentral:rRNA from 1 species